rnacentral:tRNA from 1 species
UGUAGCUAGCUCAGUGGUAGAGCACUUGCCUAGCAUGCAUGACACCCUGGGUUCAAACCCUAGUAUUG